rnacentral:rRNA from 1 species
GGUCGAAAGAGGAAAUUCAUUCGCGUUUCGAUCGUCGAAGUUGAACGUUUGUAUGACGGAUGAUGUGUUUCGGCGCAUGAGUCCGCAUCUUAUGUUCUUCGAAUCGAUGUCGAACGCGUGCACUUUUCCUCUAGUAGGACGUCGUGAUCCGUUGGGUGUCUGUCUAAGACUCGUGGUGGAGACCACGUGAUUUUUUGAUUAUGUGGACCCUCGAUGUUCCGACAGACUCGCUCGACGGUAUAAAUAUGGCGCGGGGCCGCUACUUUAGUUAGCGUUCGGCCCGUAGCAAGCACGUUUCGUGUUUGACGGCGAUCGGACCUAGUGCCGAUUCUGUCCCGGAACGACUGUUGGUUACGGUGUUCUCGAACAGACCUCG